rnacentral:snRNA from 1 species
AUACUUACCUGGCAGAGGAGAUACCAUGAUCACAAAGGUUGUUUUCCCAGGGCAAGGCUUAUCCAUUGCACUCCGGAUGUGCUGACCCCUGCGAUUUCCCCAAAUGUGGGAAAUUUGACUGCAUAAUUUGUGGUAGUAGGGACUGAGCUUGCACUCUCCCCU